rnacentral:rRNA from 1 species
GAAUAUUGCACAAUGGGCGCAAGCCUGAUGCAGCAACGCCGCGUGAGUGAAGAAGUAUUUCGGUAUGUAAAGCUCUAUCGGCAGGGAAGAAAGGCCCGAAAGGGAGAUGACGGUACCUGACUAAGAAGCCCCGGAUAACUACGUGCCAGCAGCCGCGGUAAUACGUAGGGGGCAAGCGUUAUCCGGAUUUACUGGGUGUAAAGGGAGCGCAGACGGCAUUACAAGUCUGAUGUGAAAGCCCGGGGCUCAACCCCGGAACUGCAUUGGAAACUGUAGAGCUCGAGUGUCGGAGGGGUAAGCGGAAUUCCUAGUGUAGCGGUGAAAUGCGUAGAUAUUAGGAGGAACACCGGUGGCGAAGGCGGCUUACUGGACGACUACUGACGUUGAGGCUCGAAAGCGUGGGGAGCAAACA